AACGUAGGAGACAAACGUUAUCCGGAGUUACUGGGCGUAAAGGGCGUGUAGGCGGUUUGUUAAGUCUGGCGUGAAAGCUCUCGGCUAAACCGGGAGAGGUCGUUGGAUACUGGCAAACUUGAGGACGGUAGAGGCGUGUGGAAUUCCAGGUGUAGCGGUGAAAUGCGUAGAUAUCUGGAGGAACACCGGUGGCGAAGGCGGCAUCCUGGACCGACACUGACGCUGAUGAGCGAAAGCCAGGGAGCAAACGGG
rnacentral:rRNA from 1 species